rnacentral:rRNA from 1 species
GAUGAACGCUGACAGCAUGCUUAACACAUGCAAGUCAACUUGAACUUCGGUUUGGGUGGCGGACGGGUGAGUCACGCGUAAAGAACUUGCCUCACAGAUAGGGACAACAUUUGGAAACGAAUGCUAAUACCUGAUAUUAUGAAUAUAUGGCAUCGUAUAAUUAUGAAAGUUAUAUGCGCUGUGAGAGAGCUUUGGGUCCCAUUAGCUAGUUGGAGAGGUAACGGCUCACCAAGGCGAUGAUGGGUAGCCGGCCUGAGAGGGUGAUCGGCCAGGAGGGGACGUAGACAGGGCCCUUGCAGCAACGGGAGGAAGUAGUGGGGAAUAUUGGUCAAUGGACCAAGAGUCUGAUACAACGAUUCUGUGAGGAAGAUUAAGUUUUUCGGAAUGUAAAGUGCUUUCAGUUGGGUAGAAGAAAAUGACGGUACCAACAGAAGAAGAAACGGCUAAAUACGUG